rnacentral:rRNA from 1 species
AUGACGACGGGAGGGCGCGCGGUGCUCCUACUGCCGCUUCUGGUGGCCUCGGCGCUGUUCGCGCAGAUCCGCGCGUCGGAUCCGCUGUUCCACGAGUCCUUCGACGAGGGCUUCGAGGGGAGCUGGGUCGUCUCCGGCAAGGAAGAGUACUCAGGUGUAUGGAAGCACGAGAAGAGUGAUGGCCAUGAAGACUAUGGUCUCCUUGUCAGUGAGCCAGCCAGGAAAUAUGCCAUAGUCAAAGAGCUUGAUAGCCCUGUUACUUUGAAGGAUGGGACAGUUGUCCUGCAGUUCGAAGUGAGGCUUCAGAAUGGCCUCGAGUGUGGAGGUGCUUAUCUUAAGUACAUUCGCCCUCAGGAGGCUGGAUGGGAUGCCAAGGAAUUUGACAAUGACACUCCUUACACAAUUAUGUUUGGUCCUGACAAGUGUGGUUCAACGAACAAGGUUCACUUCAUCCUGAAGCACAAGAACCCCAAGACUGGCAAAUAUGUUGAACAUCACCUCAAGUCCCCACCCUCUGUCCCAUAUGACAAGCUCUCUCAUGUCUACACGGCUAUCUUGAAGCCGGAUAACGAGGUCAGAAUUUUGGUUGAUGGGGAGGAGAAGAGCAAAGCAAACUUCCUGUCCGCUGACGAUUUUGAGCCAGCACUUAUUCCAUCAAAGACCAUUCCUGACCCUGAUGACAAGAAGCCAGAGGACUGGGACGAGAGAGCUAAAAUCCCUGACCCAGCUGCAGUGAAGCCCGAUGACUGGGAUGAGGAUGCCCCAACAGAAAUUCUGGAUGAGGAGGCCACCAAGCCAGAAGGAUGGUUGGAUGAUGAGCCUGAGGAAGUUGAUGACCCAGAGGCUGCUAAGCCCGAAGACUGGGAUGAUGAGGAGGAUGGCGAAUGGGAGGCACCGAAGAUCGACAACCCCAAGUGUGAAGAGGCACCUGGAUGUGGUGAAUGGAAGAGGCCAAUGAAGCAGAACCCUGCCUACAAGGGCAAGUGGCAUGCACCCCUGAUUGACAACCCUGCCUACAAGGGAAUCUGGAAGCCCCAAGAAAUCCCCAACCCAGAGUACUUUGAGCUUGACAAGCCUGACUUUGAUCCGAUUGCCGCUAUUGGAAUUGAGAUCUGGACAAUGCAGGAUGGCAUCCUUUUUGACAACAUUCUUAUCGCCGAUGAUGAGAAGGUAGCCACAGCCAUCUUGGAGAAGACCUGGAAGCCCAAGUUUGAUGUUGAGAAGGAAAAGCAGAAGGCUGAGGAGGCUGCAGCAGCCGAUUCAGAGGACCUUUCUGAGUUCCAGAAGAAGAUAUUCAGCGUUUUGUACAAAAUCGCUGACAUUCCAUUCUUGGAACCUUACAAGAUCAAGAUCAUUGAUAUUAUUGAGAAGGGAGAGAAGCAGCCCAACAUUACAAUUUCGAUCUUGGCCUCAGUUGCUGUCAUCCUUGUUACUGUGCUCUUCAGAACCAUUUUCGGUGGCAAGAAGCCAGUGGCACCUGUGAAGCCCGUUGCCGAGGUCAAGAAGCCCAAUGCCACGGAAGCUGAUGCCGCUGGAAGCAGCGGCGACAAGGAGGAGAAAGAGGACGACACCACCGCACCACGCAGAAGGUCGAGAAGGGAGACAUAG